rfam:Glycine soja cultivar W05 scaffold3426_34, whole genome shotgun sequence.
CAUCAUAUACUAAUUGAGGACAUAUAAAAUGCACAUGACAAUCUAUAGCCCCAGCUGUCACAAUCAAGCCCUCUCCAGCAAUAACUUCGGUAUUAGCCUAGAUAUGGAUGAUGUAUGUAAAGUUGUAUCAGGAUAAUGAGGUAGGAAUUCAACUCAUUGCCUCUAAUAUCUAGAAGGGAACUUACCCCAAUUAUCAUAUUAGGAAAUACAUCAUUCAUAAUGUCUGGAUUUCCUGCUUUUCCUGUUGAGAUGAUCAGUCCAUCUUUAAUACCGAUAUCUGCUUUGAUAAUUCCAGUAUAAUCAAUGAUCACAGCAUUUGUUAUAACAGUAUCCAAGGAGCCCUCAGGUGGAUGGCCACUUGAUUGACCCAUUCCGUCUCUUAUG